CGGAAGCACAGGAGGCCCCCAGCAGGUUGCGGACUCGGAGGCUGAGAGCAGGGCCAUGUGGAGAUUCUUGGGCCCAAAAGUUUUACCAGGAUGGGCCUGGGAGAGGCCUGGAUGAGGAGGACAUUCGCAGGGCACGGGAGGCCCGUCCCAGGAAGACACCCCGGCCCCAGCUGAGUGACCGCUCUCGAGAACGCAAGGUGCCUGCCUCCCGCAUCAGCCGCUUGGCCAAGUUUGGGGGACUGGCUGUGGGCUUGGGGCUAGGAGCGCUGGCCGAGAUGGCUAAGAAGUCCAUGCCAGGAGGUCGUCUGCAGUCAGAGGGUGGUUCUGGGCCGGACUCCAGCCCCUUCCUGUCAGAGGCCAAUGCCGAGCGGAUUGUGCAGACCUUAUGUACAGUUCGAGGGGCCGCCCUCAAGGUUGGCCAGAUGCUCAGCAUCCAGGGUACAGCAUGACC
rnacentral:sRNA from 1 species